CCCCUUUCAAAGCGUUACAACAUUUUUGGGAAACCCUGUAUAUACAGAGUGGAGGUGAUUUGGAACAACUUUUUCCUUUGCGAAAAUGUCGUCCGAGGCUUCGUUAAGGAGAUAUUAACGGAAAACACUGACCAAUCAGAGUGCGCGUAUGCUGGCGGAGGGCGGUCGCCUAGCACGUAGCCCACGCUUACCGCGGGCGUACUCGCGUUCUGAUUGGUCCGACGUUUUCUCUAAUAUCUCCUUAACGAAGCCUCGGACAACAUUUUCGCUAAGGAAAAAAAUGUUUCAAAUCACCCCCCGGAUCUCUUUCAAGAACCUCCAACAUUUUUCGGACACCCUGUAUAUAGUUUCAAUUAGACAUUUGUAUAUUUAAUAAAAACUGUUUACAAAGUCUCCAACACUUCAUCACGUUCCUACAUUACAUCUAAAACACAAUUGCAAUAAACAUUUAAAUAUUUACCUUUAAAGAAUACCUAAAAUCUAAAUUAAUCAAAUAUUCAUAACGCAACCAUUACGAAAUCUACAAUAUAUAAAAUAAUAAAAAUAAGAGUGGAAAAAUAAUCUAAACCUAGAAAUAGCACUAAUAUUCCUAGAAACAUGUGCAAAAUACCAUCAAUUACUUUAAGGAGACCAAACUUUACAGUAGUACAUAACACCGUUAAUUAAUCAGAAACCCAAUCGAAUUCGUUUCUAAUUAAACUUUUAUUCAUGCUGUAGAUGCGGCGUAAAAUAAAUCCAUAUAAAAAAAAAAUGUAGAUAAUGAGAAAAAAUGAAAAUAUUAACAGGAAAAGGGGAUAUAAUCAACAAAAAUCUCACUAUAAAAUAAAGAAAUAAAAUAAAAUAAAAAAAGAUCAAUUAACUUCGAAGAAAGAAAUCGUUGAAUGUAGCUAUGAUCUUCGGCGCGUCCUUCCUCUAUAUUAAAGCCUUUAAUUUAAAGGAACACUCGUGCCUGGCUGUUAAUUCGAAUAAUGGAAUUACCGUCGUGACAAAUAGUGCCUGUCACUCUGUUCGUUUCAAGAGUAGAAGUUUCACCUACAAAGGCGUCACUCGAUGGAACUAAAUGUCGUGGUCUGUAAGUACGUGUCCCGCGUAACUAACGCGGCACAAUAUUCCGAUGCAGCCGAGUAAAUUUCAUACACGUUCCCUUGACAUUGCCGGUAGCAACAACCGUGACACAUUAAUGUCACAGAGUGCCACGGAACGGUGCAACUCACCUUUCGUGGCGGUUGCGUAACCGUACACGAUGCACCGCAUUAAUUCCGCGAGGACCUCGAGGUGUUCGCACGCAGUGCCGUAACGAGUCCACGAAGGGCCCGUGGCAAUUCUGCGUUCCAAGACCGAUAGCGACGCCAUGUCCCAAAAGCGGCCAAAUUAAGAACUAAUAAUCACUCAUAACUGCGUGAUAGGGAUUGGGACUGAGUGGAACAUGCAAUCAGAAAUUAUGCAAAAACACAAGAUAUAAAGCAAAAAAAGCAAGAGAUUCGAAAUUUGUAUCAUUAUAUAUAUGGUUCCAAGCAAUCCUCAACUUCUAGAGGAAUGGGUCCAAGCUUUACUCACUUCGAAUAACCAGAACAGUGCUUUAAGCUUGCCAAAAAUGGCAUCGAUACAUACAGAGCAUUUUGAUAAAGCAUGUUUUUCAUAAAAUCACCAUUUGUGUCAUCACAAAUUUGAAUAUUGAAAGCUUAUUUCAAAAUUUUAAUGCCCAUAUCAAAGCCCACGUGCUUAUUACGGCACUGUCCGUACGUUGCACGCUUAUGCAUAGCGUUACAUCAUAAAAUGAAUGCAACUACUUCACAAUGAUCUCGUAACCUUGAAACGUGAUGCUAAUGUUGAUCAUUCAAUGUUAAAUGCUUCCAUUACUGGUUCACUUCCGGAGACAAUUAUAACAAACUGAUUAGCGCUGAUAAAACACGCUGGACAGUAAAUUGAAGAAGAUUAUGAUUGAAGAAAAUCAUGUUUAUACCACUAAGGACAAUUAUUAAUGAAAAGUAUUAUGUUUAUACUAUUGAAAAAUAAUAUGAUUGAAGAAAAUUGUGUUUACGCCAUUGAUGAAUAAUAUGAAUGAAGAAUUCAUUCAGAAUAAUGCAGUAAAGUGUACUGAUAGUUCGUAUCCUUUAUUUUAAAAGCAAAGGACAAAUUGUAUUAAUAUAUGAUACGUCUUUGUUGUAAACAAAAUUAUACAAAUUAAGAAGUUCAAUGAAAAUACAAAAACCAGGUGUAAACUAUAAUGAUUCCAAGUGCUGUUAUUAAUUUAACCUUCAAUUAAAAAUCUUAUAUUUCAAAGAACCUAGUUACUAUAGUAGUAUACAAAAUUUUAAUCUGUAAGGAACUUAAUUUUGUUUAUUAAUUUCAUCAUAUUUUAAUUAGGUGAGUCCGUAGUGCUUAGGAAAGAAAAAUAAUACUAAUCAUAAAAUAUAAUUUUCCUUUGACCAAAAAUAGAACAGAAAAUUCACGAAUACGUAAAUAAAGAUACAUAGAUAAUCACUUCAAUUAACUGAUUAUAUAUAAUGAAAAUAAGUUUCUCUAAAAGACUCUACACAAACAAAAUAAAAUAAAUAUGAUUCAUGAAAUUAAUAAAUUCCAUAAAAAUUAAUAAAAGAUAAAAUCAAUUGGAAAUCUGCUUUUAUAAAUACUAAUUCUUUAAUCAUACAUUAAUGAUUUAAUCAUACAUAUAAUAAGAAAAAUAAUAAUUGAACGAAGUAAAUAUUAGUUGGAAGAAACAAGGCUCCAAAAGUUCUAGGAGACUCCCUAAAUUCAAGAAAAACAAAGAGUCCCGUCUUCAAAGCACCGACUGGAGCAAUCUUCUCUAAAAGAAAGAAACCAGAUAACCCAAUAAUAGGUAUAAUUCGGUUGGAAGUAAUCGAUGAAGUACAGAGAAGAUUUAAAAGAAAUACAGGAACAUCGUAUUUAUAAAAUGAUUACUAAAGCUAACUGCGUUGGCGUAACGAAGCGUUAACUUGUACUGCGACGACGUCAGAGAUAAUAUCAGCCACUUAACAAGCUAUUGCGUCGGUUAUAAGGUGUGCUUUUUAUUCCAAAUGAAUCCAAACAUAAUUUUAGCACUGUUCAUUCACCUAAAAUCCAGGAACCGCGAAGGCCGUCCAAAGCCCUCGAAGCGUGGGAUUCAAAUGCAUCGAACCUUGAGAGGAACCACUCCGAACUUAUUGAUUGGACGUAAUUAAACCGGAUCAGCUGUGCGCACGUUAAUCACACCGUCUGGCUAGGUCGUUCGUUUUGUAACGGGUAAAUACGUCGAACGAGAUAAGCCUUGACCGAUUAAGUCGGUGGUUCUUAACCUUUUCCACGUUAUCGAAGCUCAAUUAUCCGGAAUUCAAGCAUCACUUUCUCAAUCAAGUUCCAAGUAUGCUAAUCUGAAGAAACAUUGCUUCAACUUAUUUUGGAUUGCUGGAACAUCAAACUUGGGAACUCUUCAAGUGAUAUUAUUCGAAAUAUCAUUUAUUUAUGUAUAUAUAUUUAUAUAUAAUAAAUUUAUUUGUAAAUAUUAAAUCUAUAAUUUAAUUAAAAAAUACAUGUAUGUAGAUUUUGGGAUGAUCGAGGGUGGUGAAUAAAUUAGACACGUGAGAAACUUGUAAAUAUAAUAUAAUUAAUAAUAUAAGAUUGAAAUGGUAUAAAAGAAACCUGACGAAACACGUCCAAACGUACUGUUAUACACUCAUAGUAAAUAUUUUUCGCUAUUACUCAUUCCUGACCCUUCAGCUUCCAAACUCUCCUUCCUUUCUCAUACAGUUAUACCCCAAAGUCCAGUUUCCGAAAUCCAUAAAUGGCCCUAGUUUUCCAUCCGGUAGUUAUCAGUUUUACCGCGCGCAUACCAGUUUGUAUCACCGAAUUUUAUAAUAAAGUAUUGUUUUCCGCUAACGUCGGUCUUUAAUUGAAUAAUAUCAAGUGAGACCCUAUCUCCUGUCGACGAUAUUGAGGUAUCAGGGUCGGCGUUAGGAGAGGGGGGGGGGGGGGGCGCCAGAUUUUUGGGGGCGUCGCAUUUCUGUGUCCCUAUUAUACGAAUAUACCGAUAUACAGGGUGUACCUAGUAUACGAAUAUACCAAUAUACAGGGUAUCCCAAAAAUGUUGUAACACAUUCAAAGAGGUGGUUCGGGAGGUGAUUUGAAACAACUUUUUCCUUAGCGAAAAUGUUGUCCGAGGCUUCGUUCAGGAGAUAUUAACAGAUAACACUGACCAAUUAGAGCACGCGAAUAC